ensembl:lncRNA
GAGAGAGAGAGAGAGAGAGAGAGAGAGAGAGAGAGAGAGAGAGAGAGAGAGAGAGAGAGAGAGAGAGAGAGAUAUAAAGUCUUGUAAAAAGGUGGUCGAGAAACACCCCGGCGAAAGCAGAAGAAGACGAAGAAGAAGGAGAAGAAGAAGAUAAUGUCACGCACUAGACCGUGGGAGCCAAAGAGCACUAAGGUCGGUGGUACAGGCGGAUCGCAAUCGCCAGCGGUGUCCUCCUCCUCCUCCUCCUCCCGCUCACCAUCACCGUCGCCAUCGCCAUCGCAUUUGGCGUACGCUGCGUGGUCGGCUCCGGUGGCUCCGUUGUUGCGACCGGCCACGUUUCGCUAUCGAGGGCUAGGGGUCGAGGAAGACCAAGAGCAGCGGCAGCAGCGGCAGCAGCGGCAGCAGCGGCAGCAGCAGCAGCAGCAGCAGCAGCAGCAGCUACAGGAGAACUUGGAGGAGGACGAGAGCAAGGAAGAGGAGCAAGAGGCCGAGGGGGACGACAACGACGACCCGACGGCCCGAACGCUCGCAGACGAGGAGGAGGAGGAGAGCCACUCGGAGGAUCAGGAGGACGAAAACGAUGGGGUGGGUAGUUGCGAGGAAGACGAUCGCGGUUACGAAAUGGCGUCGCAACUCUGCCAGGACGGCGGCUCGCAAGGCGAGUCGAACCGCCGAGAGGGAGAGGAAGAAGAAGCAGGCGCCGACCCACCGGGGCGGGGGACUCGGGAGAUUUGGCAAGAGGACGACGCCGGCCGCGCUGCAGGUGGCGUUCAUGAUCCUGGGCGCGAUCGCGGCCGCGGCGCUGUCGGUGAAACUCGCGACGCUGAUGUAGCCGACGAUUACGACUACGACGAUGACGAAGAAGACAAAGACUAUGAAGAAGAAGAAGAAGAGGAAGAAGAAGAAGAAGAAGAAGAAGAAGACGUCCUCGCCGAUGAUGAUGAUGAUGAAGAAGAAGAAAAAGAAGAAGACAAAGACUAUGAAGAAGAAGAAGAAGACAUCCUCGCCAAUGAUGAUGAAGAAGAAGACAAAGACAAUGAAGAAGAAGAAGAAGAAGAAGAAAAAGAAGACAUCCUCGCCAAUGAUGAUGAAGAAGAAGAAGAAGAAAAAGAAGAAGAAGAAGAAGAAGACAAAGACAAAGACUAUGAAGAAGAAAAAGAAGACAUCCUCGCCAAUGAUGAUGAAGAAGAAGAAGAAGACGUCCUCGCUGAUGAUUAUAACGAUGACGAUGAAGAAGACAAAGACUAUGAAGAAGAAGAAGAAGAAGAAGAAGAAGAAGAAUUAGAAUUAGAAGAAGAAGACGACGACCUCGACCCGCCGGGACGAGGCCCCACCGAAGAGGCCGUGGCGGCGGCGCGAGACGAGGCCUCCGCGUUCAUGGCCUACUUCCCGCCGGAGAUAGAGGACUCGGUGAUCGCCAUGACCAACCUGGAAGCGGGCAGGCGCAGGCCCGCCAUCGACGGAUGGAAGCCCAUGGGCCGCGUCGAGUUCCGAGCCUACCUGGGGCUGCUCGUGCUCGCCGGCGUGUACAGGUCCCGGGGAGAGGCCUGCGAGAGCCUGUGGGACGCCGAGAGCGGCAGGUCC